rnacentral:rRNA from 1 species
AUUGAACGCUGGCGGAAUGCUUUACACAUGCAAGUCGAACGGCAGCACGGGGGCAGCCCUGGUGGCGAGUGGCGAACGGGUGAGUAAUACAUCGGAACGUGCCCGGUCGUGGGGGAUAACGUGGCGAAAGUUACGCUAAUACCGCAUACGAUCUGAGGAUGAAAGCGGGGGACCUUCGGGCCUCGCGCGAUCGGAGCGGCCGAUGUCAGAUUAGGUAGUUGGUGGGGUAAAGGCCUACCGAGCCGACGAUCUGUAGCUGGUCUGAGAGGACGACCAGCCACACUGGGACUGAGACACGGCCCAGACUCCUACGGGAGGCAGCAGUGGGGAAUUUUGGACAAUGGGCGCAAGCCUGAUCCAGCCAUUCCGCGUGCAGGACGAAGGCCUUCGGGUUGUAAACUGCUUUUGUACGGAACGAAAAGGCUCUGGCUAAUACCUGGGGCUCAUGACGGUACCGUAAGAAUAAGCACCGGCUAACUACGUG